GGUUAAGUUAGAAAGGGCGCACGGUGGAUGCCUUGGCACUAGGAGCCGAAGAAGGACGGGACUAACACCGAUAUGCUUUGGGGAGCUGUACGUAAGCGUUGAUCCAGAGAUUUCCGAAUGGGGGAACCCACUAUCUUUAGUCGGAUAGUAUCCUUACGUGAAUACAUAGCGUGAGGAAGGCAGACCCAGGGAACUGAAACAUCUAAGUACCUGGAGGAAGAGAAAGAAAAAUCGAUUUCCUGAGUAGCGGCGAGCGAAACGGAAAGAGCCCAAACCAAGAAGCUUGCUUCUUGGGGUUGUAGGACACUCUAUACGGAGUUACAAAAGAAAGUUAUAAAUGAAGCGGUCUGGAAAGGCCCGCCAAAGACGGUAACAGCCCGGUAGUUGAAAUGGCUUUCCCUCCAGAGUGGAUCCUGAGUACGGCGGAACACGUGAAAUUCCGUCGGAAUCCGGGAGGACCAUCUCCCAAGGCUAAAUACUCCCUAGUGACCGAUAGUGAACCAGUACCGUGAGGGAAAGGUGAAAAGCACCCCGGAAGGGGAGUGAAACAGUUCCUGAAACCGUGUGCCUACAAGUAGUUAGAGCCCGUUAAUGGGUGAUAGCGUGCCUUUUGUAGAAUGAACCGGCGAGUUACGAUUUGUUGCAAGGUUAAGCGGAAAAAGCGGAGCCGUAGCGAAAGCGAGUCUGAAUAGGGCGCAUAAGUAACAGGUCGUAGACCCGAAACCAGGUGAUCUACCCAUGUCCAGGAUGAAGGUAAGGUAAUACUUACUGGAGGUCCGAACCCACGCACGUUGAAAAGUGCGGGGAUGAGGUGUGGGUAGCGGAGAAAUUCCAAUCGAACUUGGAGAUAGCUGGUUCUCUCCGAAAUAGCUUUAGGGCUAGCCUCGAGGUAAAGAGUCAUGGAGGUAGAGCACUGUUUGGACUAGGGGCCCUUCUCGGGUUACCGAAUUCAGAUAAACUCCGAAUGCCAUGUACUUAUACUCGGGAGUCAGACUGCGAGUGAUAAGAUCCGUAGUCGAAAGGGAAACAGCCCAGACCACCAGUUAAGGUCCCCAAAUAUAUGUUAAGUGGAAAAGGAUGUGGGGUUGCUUAGACAACCAGGAUGUUGGCUUAGAAGCAGCCACCAUUGAAAGAGUGCGUAAUAGCUCACUGGUCGAGUGACCCCGCGCCGAAAAUGUACCGGGGCUAAACAUAUUACCGAAACUGUGGAUGAACCUCUUUAGAGGUUCGUGGUAGGAGAGCGUUCUAAGGGCGGUGAAGUCAGACCGGAAGGACUGGUGGAGCGCUUAGAAGUGAGAAUGCCGGUAUGAGUAGCGAAAGAAGGGUGAGAAUCCCUUCCACCGAAUAUCUAAGGUUUCCUGAGGAAGGCUCGUCCGCUCAGGGUUAGUCGGGACCUAAGCCGAGGCCGAUAGGCGUAGGCGAUGGACAACAGGUAGAGAUUCCUGUACCAGUGCUAAUUGUUUAACCGAUGGGGUGACACAGAAGGAUAGGGAAUCGCACGAAUGGAAAUGUGCGUCCAAGCAGUGAGUGUGAGAAGUAGGCAAAUCCGCUUCUCACGAANNNNNNNNNNNNNNNNNNNNNNNNNNNNNNNNNNNNNNNNNNNNNNNNNNNNNNNNNNNNNNNNNNNNNNNNNNNNNNNNNNNNNNNNNNNNNNGCGAAGCAUGAGCUGUGAUGGGGAAGGAAAUUAAGUACGGAAGUUCCUGAUUUCACGCUGUCAAGAAAAGCCUCUAGGAAGAGUAGUACUGCCCGUACCGCAAACCGACACAGGUAGAUGAGGAGAGAAUCCUAAGGUGAGCGAGAGAACUCUCGUUAAGGAACUCGGCAAAAUGACCCCGUAACUUCGGGAGAAGGGGUGCUCUAUUAGGGUGCAAGCCCGAGAGAGCCGCAGUGAAUAGGCCCAGGCGACUGUUUAGCAAAAACACAGGUCUCUGCAAAACCGUAAGGUGACGUAUAGGGGCUGACGCCUGCCCGGUGCUGGAAGGUUAAGAGGAGUGCUUAGCUUCGGCGAAGGUACGAAUUGAAGCCCCAGUAAACGGCGGCCGUAACUAUAACGGUCCUAAGGUAGCGAAAUUCCUUGUCGGGUAAGUUCCGACCCGCACGAAAGGCGCAACGAUCUGGGCACUGUCUCAACGAGAGACUCGGUGAAAUUAUAGUACCUGUGAAGAUGCAGGUUACCCGCGACAGGACGGAAAGACCCCGUGGAGCUUUACUGCAACCUGAUAUGGAAUGUUUGUACCGCUUGUACAGGAUAGGUAGGAGCCGAAGAGACGUGUGCGCUAGCAUACGAGGAGGCAAUGGUGGGAUACUACCCUGGCUGUAUGACCAUUCUAACCCGCCACGCUUAGCGCGUGGGGAGACAGUGUCAGGUGGGCAGUUUGACUGGGGCGGUCGCCUCCUAAAGAGUAACGGAGGCGCCCAAAGGUUCCCUCAGAAUGGAUGGAAAUCAUUCGCAGAGUGUAAAGGCACAAGGGAGCUUGACUGCGAGACUGACAAGUCGAGCAGGGACGAAAGUCGGGCUUAGUGAUCCGGUGGUUCCGCAUGGAAGGGCCAUCGCUCAACGGAUAAAAGCUACCCCGGGGAUAACAGGCUUAUCUCCCCCAAGAGUCCACAUCGACGGGGAGGUUUGGCACCUCGAUGUCGGCUCGUCGCAUCCUGGGGCUGUAGUCGGUCCCAAGGGUUGGGCUGUUCGCCCAUUAAAGCGGCACGCGAGCUGGGUUCAGAACGUCGUGAGACAGUUCGGUCCCUAUCCGUCGCGGGCGCAGGAAAUUUGAGAGGAGCUGUCCUUAGUACGAGAGGACCGGGAUGGACACACCGCUGGUGUACCAGUUGUUCCGCCAGGAGCAUCGCUGGGUAGCUAUGUGUGGCAGGGAUAAACGCUGAAAGCAUCUAAGCGUGAAGCCCCCCUCAAGAUGAGAUUUCCCAUUUCUUCGGAAAGUAAGAUCCCUGAAAGAUGAUCAGGUAGAUAGGUUUGGAGUGGAAGUGUAGCGAUACAUGGAGCGGACAAAUACUAAUCGAUCGAGGACUUAACCAA
rnacentral:rRNA from 1 species